rnacentral:rRNA from 1 species
AUACGUAGGGGGCGAGCGUUGUCCGGAAUGACUGGGCGUAAAGGGCGUGUAGGCGGCCGAUUAAGUCUGGAGUGAAAGUCCUGCUUUCAAGGUGGGAAUUGCUUUGGAGACUGGUUGGCUUGAGUGCGGAAGAGGUAAGUGGAAUUCCCAGUGUAGCGGUGAAAUGCGUAGAGAUUGGGAGGAACACCAGUGGCGAAGGCGACUUACAGGGCCGUAACUGACGCUGAGGCUCGAAAGCGUGGGGAUCGAACAGGAUUAGAUACCCUGGUAGUCCACGCUGUAAACGAUGAAUGCUAGGUGUAGCGGGUAUCGACCCCUGCUGUGCCGCAGUAAACACAAUAAGCAUUCCGCCUGGGGAGUGCGGCCGCAAGGUUGAAACUCAAAUGAAUUGUCGGGU